ensembl:lncRNA
AUGGGGCCUUCAGCGGCAGAGGUACGCUUCCCGGAGAGUGCAUCCUCGGGUUCUAAAGGGUGGGCGCAGACCCCCACCGCUAAGCCGGCCCGGGCGCGAGGGGUCUCCGAGAGGAACACCCGGGCCCCGGCCGGGGAGGCCCCUGAGCACCGCAAGGCGGCGGUCCCAGGCGGACCCCGGGUGGGGGGACGCGGACCCCGCCCCCUCAGCCGGCCCGGCCGCCUGGAGUGUGUCCCGGGGAGCGGCCGGGCCUUCUCCCCGCCGGGCCUGGCCACCCUGGCGGGGGGGACUCCUGGGGGCCAGCGCGGACCCCGCCCGACCCGGGUCCCCAGGGAGAGGGCGCAGGGAAAGGCGGGGGCGCGGAGGCCGGCCUCGGGGAGCCGCCUCCGGCUGCUCCCAGUCCCCUACGCGAGAGGGCCCGGCGGGGCCCCAAGCCGGCGGCCCCAGGCGGCGCGAGGCUGCGGGCCCGGCGGGGGCAGGAGCGGGCCCGGCCGCCGGUCGGUACUCACCGGCACGACAUCUUGGCCGCCGCUCCCGGGGCCCGGGCGGGCAGCGGCGCCGGCAGGCGGGGCGCUCAGUCCGCCGCGCUCAGCGCCCCCAGCGCGGUCCCGGCGCUCUCUGGGCUCCUGCGCGCUCCCGGCGCAGGGUCCCGGCGCUCUCGGGGCUCCUGCGCGCUCCCGGCCGCCGGACUGUCCGGGCGCCCCAGCCCGCGCCGCGCAUGCGCUGCCCGCGCCGCCCCUCCCCCUCAGGGCUCCCCGGCCCGCGGCCGCGUUAAAGGAGAGGACCCCGAACCCGGGGUUUUUCUGUCGGCCCAACGCGGCGACGGGGCUCGGUCUCCGCCCUUUACCCAUCCGUCAGGGACCACCUUGAGGCGCACCAUCUCCUGGCUGCCUGCCGCUCUGGAAGCCUGAACGCCCACCCCGCCCCCAACCCCACUUUGCCCAGCCCAGGGCUCUGGGCGCCUGCCCGGUUCUCUGGCCGGGCUCCCAGCCCCUGCGUCUGAGGACGAUUGCAAGUCAACCGAUCAGGGCUCCUAGAAACCCUUCCCGCUCUCCUCGCUGAAGGUGGGACCCCUCCCCACCCCCAGGCAGCGAGGCCCGACGUUCCUCCCUGGCGCUGCGCCCCCCUGACUGCCCUUCCCCAGGGAUGCGGAGCGCCCGACCCCCCGGAAACAGCCUGGCUGAUCCAGGUCAUCGAACAGAGCUGGCCUGGGUUCUGGGGAAGAUCCUGCCUCCUGCUUAUCCCCGCUAAAGGGCCGGCCCUGCCCCAGAGCCCGGGCUUCAGACACAGAAGACAGACGUUCCAGGGCCUGAGCCUUCCUUUCUCUGGGUUAACCCCCCAGUUUCUUCAGCUGUUGCACAGCUGCCCUGGUGCCCAAGUCUGGGCACAUACUUGAGCAUCUUAGCUGCUCCCCAUCCCCUGCCAGGUAGGCCUUGCUGUCCCCACGGUUACUUCUAACAGACUGAGGCUCUGAGCCCCCUCAGCUACCAGAAGGCACUACCGGGGGUCUGACCACUCUGUUCUGCUUCCCACCACAUACAAACUGUCCCCGCUCCGGGGGGGCCCUUCCCGGACUAGAGGCGGCAGGCAGGGCCACAGCAAGCAGAGGGGGGUCUGGGGUGACAGCUGCCACCCCCUCAAAGGGCCUUCUGUGUGUGUCUGGCAGGAGGUCCUGCCCGCGCCCACCCGCCCGCAUCCAGCUGGCCCGGGGCUCCUGAGCUGGAAGCCGCAGUUCAGUGUGGCGCCGGCGCGCUGUCUCAGAGGUCCCCCCACCCCUCCCUACCCUGACACUGCCCCAGCCCCGCCUUCUUGCUGGAGCCUGGCUCCACCCCUUCUUUCUUUCCGAGUCUGUCUGAAUUCUUAUCGCCCACUGUUCCUGUGUCCUCUCCCGGCCAGGGUACCGGGAAAUGGAAACCCAGCAGAGGGGUGCGGUUGGGCCACAAUCUCCAAAACCAUCCGUGCCUCCGACCGACCCCCUGUGACUACUUUCCCGGAAAGGCCAUCACAGGCUCAUGCUGGAAGAGAGAACACAGGCCAGACCCUCCCUCACUCCGAGGCAGGGACCCAGGGCCUUGGGUGUGGGGUUGGGAGCAGCCAGAGGGGCCCCAUCAGUGCGCUGAGCAGCCAGCAGGACCAGGCAGGACCAGGUCUGUGAGAAAACAGCGGCUGCUCCCGCUCGCCACCGCCCAACACCCCCUCACUACCCAGCCGGCAAAUGAUCCCCCGGUGACUCCCUCGGUGCUGCAGAGAACAGGUUCUGGGCACCCCACAACUAGCAGUUUACACCGGGCUAUCUGAGCAGGCACCAGCACCCUGGGAGUGUCCUCAGAGUUUGCCAGGGACCCAGGGAGACAGGGGUUCCCGUUGCUCCUGGCACUUGGAUGGAAGGGAAUUUGGACAUGGCCAGAGUGUCUUCUCAAGUGGUUCAGGUGGUAAAGAAUCCACCUGCCAAUACAGGAGACACAGGUUCGAUCCCUGGAUGAAGGAGAUCCCCUGGAGGAGGAAAUGGCCACCCACUCCUGUAUUCUUGCUGGGAAAAGACAGAGCAGACUGAUGGGCUACAGUCCAUGGAGUCAAAAAGGAAUUGGACACAACUUAGCAAAUGAACGCACACUCAGACACAAAGUCUGGGCAAAGACAAGCUUCAUACCCAGUUCUCUAGACACUCAAACCCAGCCUCUGUGCCCCGGGCUUUGCCAGAGGAUUGCCAGCCUAGGAGAGUGGAUUUGGAGGCACCAGCAGGCACUGUGUAAUGAUCCUACACUGGUCACCAUUGAUGAACCAACAAUGAUACAUACAUGCUUACUAACUGAAGUCCACACUCUACUCAGAUUUCCUUCCUUCUCCCUUCUGUCCUUUUCCUGUUCCAGGAUCCCACCAGGAAUCCCACAUUACAUGUAGUCAUCAUGUCUCCUUAGGCUUCUCUGGACUGUGACCGUUUUUCAGACUUUCCUUAUUUUUGAUGACCUUGACAGAUAUGAAGAGUAUUGGUCACAGAUUUUAUACAAUGUCCCUCAACUGGGAUUUGUCUGAUGUCUUUCUCACAGUUAGGUUGGAGUUCUGAGUUUUUAGGAGGAAGAUAAAAUGACAUAACCUCCCAGCGUCCUUGCAUGGGAAAUAUGAACAGAGGAGCCUGGCAGGCUACAGUCCAUGGGGUCACAAAAGAAUCGGACACAAAAGAGUUUGUUUGUAAAAUGACAUUCUCAACACAUCAUUUCAAGGAUACAUAAUAUUAAUAGGAUUUACUCUUGCCAAUGUGAUGUUGACCUUGAACUCCUGACCGAGACAGCAUUUGUCAGGUUAUUCUACUAAAAAGUGACUCUUUUUUUCUUCAGUUUUCAACAAUGUACCCUUUGAAAAGAAGUGAGGAGUUAUGUUCCACCUCUUUGAUGAUAGAGUAUCUACAUCAAUUAUUUGUAUUUCUUCUGUAUGGGAAAUUGUGCCCAUUAUUUAUUUAUUUAUUCAAUCAUUUAUAUCAGUAUGAAUUUAUGGAUAUUUAUUUUACAUCUUGGAUUAGAAUCCAAUAAUACUUUAUUUUCUUCUUCAAAUUGUUCCUCUUUGGCUGGGUUGAGUUCUUUCAGUUAGUGAAUCGGAUUUUUCAAGUGAAUCUAGAAAUCCAGAUUGUUUUAUAAAAUCUCUAGGUUUUGACACAUUGACUGUGUAAGGCAAUGCUUCUUCCUGCCAACUCUGGCAGCUCUAAGUCCUGGAGUAGGAUUAUCUGCUUUGAACCCUGCUCCUCUGCUUGUGGGCUUCCCAGGUGGCUCAGUGGAAAAGAAUUCAUCUGCAGUGCAGGAGAUGCGGGUUGGAUCCCUGGGUUGGGAAAAUCUCCGACAGAAGGAAAUGGCAACCCACUGCAGUAUACUUGCGUGGGAAAUCCCACGAACAGAGGAGCCUGGCAGGCUACAGUCCAUGGGGUCACAAAAGAAUUGGACACAAAAGAGUUUGUUUGGGGGAGACCUAGAAAGACACUUCAGGGUUGGAGGUGGCUGGCAGGACCCUGUGAGCCCCGGGGUUGAUACGAAGGAGCAUCGCCCCAAGCAUAGUUUUCAGCAGGAGAGUUGAGCUCCGCUACUCUGUAGUAAUACCAUAGCAACCUGCAGUAUCAGUGCCGGUUGUCCUGUCUCACUCAUGCUAAAGUGUGAAUGACUACUUCUCUUUAGGAAGGCAAGUCAGAUUGGAACAGAAAAGAGGUUCAGUUGAGUGGAGUGGGUGGGGGGCCUCACUAGCCUGCCAGGCUAGACCUUGGGGUCUGGUCCUGGCACCACCUCACACUUACCAAGUGACCUUAAGCAAGUCCAGUUUACAACAAGGGUAAUUUCAUAGUCUGGUCAAGGACGGGCCCCCAGGGUAGGGCUUCUCUUUGUCUGUCCUCGUGCACAGAACCUUGGGUAUGCUCUGCUGGAGGGCCUCUGGUUAGGGGAGAGAGUGAGGUUCAUGUCAUCAGGCUGCUGGGCCGAGAGGGAGACCCUCAUCCCUGAGACAAUGAAGUUUUAGGACCUGGUAGCAAGAGGAAGAUGUACUAGUUUCUUAUUGCUGCUGUAACAAAUUACCCCAAACUUAGUGGCUAAAACAACAUGAAUUUAUUACCCUCCAGUUCUUGAAGUCAGAAGUCCAAAAUGGGUUGAGAGGGCUGCAUUCCUUCUGGGGGCUCUGGGGAGAACCCCUUUCCUUACUUUUUCCCUUGCUUGAGGCUGCCUGCCUUCCUCGGCCUGUGGCUCCGCGUCACUCAGACUCUGCUUCCAUCAUCACAUCUCCUUCUCUCACUCUGGCCCUUCUGACCUCCUCUUAUAAGCUUGAGAUUACACUGGGCCCACUCAGGGAAUCCAGGAAAAUCUCCCCAUUUCAAGAUGGUUAAUUUAAUCACAUGUGGCAAAGCACAUUUUGUCUUAUAAGGUAACUCAG